rnacentral:rRNA from 1 species
AAAAAAAACUAUAUCUUUUUAUAAUACUAUAUGACUAGAGUUAAAAAAUUGGGGAUGGCGGAUACCUCCAGUUUAGAAGUGACAUUCGUUUGCCAUUGGGGGGGUGACAAACAAUAGGCGAUGGGGGGGAACCAUUUUUAUACUGACGCUGAGGUACRAAAGCAUGGGGAGCGAACAGGAUUARAGACCCUGGUAGUCCAUGCCCUGACCUAUGAAUAUUAAUCGYCCAUUUAGAUAGKGGAUGACUAAGCUAACGCGAAAAUAUUCCACCUGAGGACUACGGCCGCAAGGUUAAAACUCAAARAAAUUGGCGGAAGAUCGUUUAAGCGGKGGAGUAUGUGGUUUAAUUCGAUAAUACGCGAAAAACCUUACCAAUCUUUGUGCACAUUUUCGGUUCUACAAAACUUGUAGCCCAAAUUGAGGUGGUCAAUUUGGGCUAGCUAUGUGCCAGGCGUUGCAUGGYUGUCGUAAGCUCGUGUCUUAGGAUGUGUGGUUAACUCCAUGAACGGGCGCAACCCUUGUUCCUAGUUAGAUUAGGAAUGAAAACAGUGAAAACUGCUUUUGAGGAUGAGGAGUAUGUCAAGUCAAUAUGACCUUUAUAGAUUGGGCUACACACGUACUACAACGGUAGCUACAAUGGAGAAACAAUGCCGUGAGGCGGAGUAAAUCUCUAAAACCUACCCUAGUUCGGAUUAUUUUUGAAAAUAAAAAUAUGAAGCCGGAAUUCGKCUAGUAAUCYGYAAAAAAGAAUGUUGGCGGGUUGAAAUUA